GAGGAAUAUUGGUCAAUGGGCGAGAGCCUGAACCAGCCAAGUAGCGUGCAGGAUGACGGCCCUCCGGGUUGUAAACUGCUUUUAGUUGGGAAUAAAAAAAGGGACUUGUCCCUUCUUGUAUGUACCUUCAGAAAAAGGACCGGCUAAUUCCGUGCCAGCAGCCGCGGUAAUACGGAAGGUCCAGGCGUUAUCCGGAUUUAUUGGGUUUAAAGGGAGCGUAGGCGGAUUGUUAAGUCAGCGGUUAAAGGGUGUGGCUCAACCAUGCAUUGCCGUUGAAACUGGCGAUCUUGAGUGCAGACAGGGAUGCCGGAAUUCAUGGUGUAGCGGUGAAAUGCUUAGAUAUCACGAAGAACUCCGAUCGCGAAGGCAGGUGUCCGGGCUGCAACUGACGCUGAGGCUCGAAAGUGUGGGUAUCAAACAGGAUUAGAUACCCUGGUAGUCCACACAGUAAACGAUGUAUACUCGCGGUUUGCGAUAGAUUGUAAGCCGCCAAGCGAAAGCAUUAAGUAUACCACCUGGGGAGUACGCCGGCAACGGUG
rnacentral:rRNA from 1 species